CAGGGUUAGGUUGUGAUUUAUCGGACAGUGGGAAACAUGCCCUCUGGUGCUUAUCGAUCUUCCCCCUGGGGAUUCCUUUUCAACAUGUACUGUCACUUUGUAUUUGGCCCACGGUUUCAUCACCCUUGUCCAAAUCUAUUUGCCUUACACUUGCCCUUCCAUAGGUUUGUGGGAGUCAGUCAGGAUCCACCCUAGGUUUGAGUUUAUGCAAGGUUUAGGCCAUUGGGCUCUUUCGUCUGUAGCGCUUCAAUCCAUAGCCUCUCUGCUCUCUUCCGUCUCCCUAUUGUCCAAUUUAUGUUUGUUUCCAGGCCCAUGAUCUCUAGGGACUGGAUCCCAUGUUGCUGUAAGUGUCUGCUAAUGGGUAUGGAUUGGUCCCCCCCCCCCUUGUGAUGUUGCUGAGGUGUCCUGUCAGUCUGACUCUGAUGCUGUUACCUGUUUCGCCUAUGUACAUAACCCCUCUGUCUGAGGGCGGUGAAGAGGAUGCUUGUGGCCUGGUUGAAAUCCUCCUCCCUAGUACAUAUAUGGUGGAACAUCUUGUUAGCCUUCUUG